UAUUAUUGGGAAAACAGUUUUGAAGGGUAGAGUUCCUGAUUGGUUCUUGAGCCCCUAAAAAUCCUGGAACACACUUGCAGAACUCCUGUCCUAGGGCAUCAGAAGUACCUAGGAUACAUCUGGAUAUAACAACCUGUUACAGGUUCUGGGAUACAUGUGCAGGACGUGCAGGUUUGUUUACGUAGGUAAAUGUGUACCAGGGUGGUUUGCUACAUCUAUCAACCCAUCACCUAGAAGCUGGCAAGAUGGCUUUUGAACCCCAGUAACUUGACUUCAGGAUUGGUGUGUCCAACAACUAUGUCACACUGCUUCUCAGACCACUUGAAGUUCAC